GAGUUUGAUCAUGGCUCAGAUUGAACGCUGGCGGCAGGCUUAACACAUGCAAGUCGAACGAUGAUUACUAGCUUGCUAGUAUGAUUAGUGGCGAACGGGUGAGUAAUGCUUAGGAAUCUGCCUAUUAGUGGGGGACAACAUUCCGAAAGGAAUGCUAAUACCGCAUACGUCCUACGGGAGAAAGCAGGGGAUCGCAAGACCUUGCGCUAAUAGAUGAGCCUAAGUCGGAUUAGCUAGUUGGUGGGGUAAAGGCCUACCAAGGCGACGAUCUGUAGCUGGUCUGAGAGGAUGAUCAGCCACACUGGGACUGAGACACGGCCCAGACUCCUACGGGAGGCAGCAGUGGGGAAUAUUGGACAAUGGGCGAAAGCCUGAUCCAGCCAUGCCGCGUGUGUGAAGAAGGCCUUUUGGUUGUAAAGCACUUUAAGUGGGGAGGAAAAGCUAAUAAUUAAUACCUAUAGCCCUGACGU
rnacentral:rRNA from 1 species